rnacentral:rRNA from 1 species
UGGGGAAUUUUGGACAAUGGGCGAAAGCCUGAUCCAGCAAUGCCGCGUGUGUGAAGAAGGCCUUCGGGUUGUAAAGCACUUUUGUCCGGAAAGAAAUCCUUGGCUCUAAUACAGUCGGGGGAUGACGGUACCGGAAGAAUAAGCACCGGCUAACUACGUGCCAGCAGCCGCGGUAAUACGUAGGGUGCAAGCGUUAAUCGGAAUUACUGGGCGUAAAGCGUGCGCAGGCGGUUUGCUAAGACCGAUGUGAAAUCCCCGGGCUCAACCUGGGAACUGCAUUGGUGACUGGCAGGCUAGAGUAUGGCAGAGGGGGGUAGAAUUCCACGUGUAGCGGUGAAAUGCGUAGAGAUGUGGAGGAAUACCGAUGGCGAAGGCAGCCCCCUGGGCCAAUACUGACGCUCAUGCACGAAAGCGUGGGGAGCAAACAGGAUUAGAUACCCUGGUAGUCCACGCCCUAAACGAUGUCAACUAGUUGUUGGGGAUUCAUUUCCUUAGUAACGUAGCUAACGCGUGAAGUUGACCGCCUGGGGAGUACGGUCGCAAGAUUAAAACUUAAAUGAAUUGACGGGGUCAUAGCUGUUU